UUCGCCCCCGGGCCUUUCAGUGGCGCGGGCCGAGUGGCCAUGGCGCUCGGGUGCGCGCAGUGCACGCGGUGAGCUGGAGACGCAGGCAUUGCGCGGCCCACCGGCUGAGCCCGCUCUCCCUGCGAGGGGGGCGCAGCUCGGUGGAGAGGGUGGCCCGGAGGACCGGGAACCGGGCUGGAGGCGCGCGGGGCUCACACCGCGGGGUCCGCGGGGAGCCGGGCCUCGGGCUGCAGGUGCAGGCUUGUGGCGGUGAGGCGACUGGAGCGGCACGGGAGCCCGCCCGUUUCGGGGAGAGCCCGGGGCGAUCGCGGGGGGAGGCCGGCCUGGCGUCCGGGAGCCCGGCGUGCUAGGGCCCGGUAGGCGGGGCGGGCCUCGCACUCGGUUGCUCGCUGCGGCGCCGGAGGAACGGGUCUAUGGGGGUGUGGGUGAGGCCAGAAGCCGGGUCGAAGAGGGGGAGGGGGUGCGAAGAGAUGGCGGUGUGUAGACAGGUGACCCGGUGGGUCGGUGACGCAGGAGGAGACUGCGCUUGGUGGCGGGAUCACUUAGUUGACAACAUCUAAAAAUUAGGAGGUGCGGCAGGGCGCGGUGGCUCACGCCUGUAAUCCUAGAACUUUGGGAGGUCGUGGCGGGUGGACUACCUGAGGUGAGGAGUUCGAGACCAGCCUGGCUAACCUGGUGAAACCCCGUCUCUAUUAAAAAUACGAAGCAAUGAGCUGGGCGUGGUGGCGGGCGCCUGUAAUCCCAGCUACUCGGGAGGCUGAGGCAGGAGAAUCACUUAAACCUGGGAGGCGGAGGUUGCAGUGAGCCGGGAUUGCGCCAUUGCACUCCAGCCUGGGUGACAGAGUGAGACUCUCUCAAAAAAAAAAAAAAAAAAAAAAAAAAAAAAAAAAAAAAAAAGGGAGGUGCUCAGUCAAGCCUCUGAGAGGAGUGGGGGGCGGGGCGAGGAGUCUCUUGCUCAGAGCCCCCUAGGGACUGGGACCCGUUGACUCUGAGCUGCUUUUGAGGCUGGAUCAGGUACCAGCGGCCUGGGGGUCGUACAGGAUGGGAGAGGCCGGGGCUUGGGAUGUUGCCAGAUCUACGUUGAAAAGUGAAGCAGGAAGAGAGGCACUGAGGCUGGGCACAUGGGGAAAACCGUGGAGAGCCGGCCUUUGGGGACUAGAAGAGUGGGAACAAUGGUUGACAAAUGUACUGAGAGGUGGGGCCUCUAAGCGUGGUUGGGAUUAACCUGUCGAUGGAUUCAUGGAUUAAAGGGUUAUCACCGGAGUGGGACUGGUGACUUCAUUAGAAGAGGAAGGAAGACCUGAGCUGGCCUGUGAAUAUGCUCCGCCCCCUGGCCAUGUGACACCUGCGCCACCCUCAGGACUCUGCAGAGUCCCCAGCAGCAAGAAGGCCCUCACCAGGUGCAGCCCCUCAACCUUGGACUUCUCAGCCCCCAGGGCUGUAACAAAUAAAUUCUUUUUUAAAGUAA
rnacentral:lncRNA from 1 species